rnacentral:lncRNA from 1 species
GAAGGGAAGAGACCUGCACCCAGAAUAUGAUCCAGGUGUCCCUGACUCUGUCCCUUGCUCUUUCAUACACAGGACAGCCAAAAACAAACAAACAAACAAACAAACAAACAAACAAACAGAAAAGGUCCAGACUCUGGUGAAAAACAUGUUUCAGGCCCCUCAGCAAGAGUGGACAAGACAAACAUCUUUACAAGCCCCUCCCUAAAAGGUGCCUUGAACUGUCCAGAAGAGACAAACCGAAGCCCGGCACUGGAAGGGAGGAAAAGAGAGAUGACCCUCUCCCCGCAACAAGAGAAGAAAAGAAAACUGGUUUAUGGAGGAAGACAGAAUGAAACAGAUGCAUAGGAGAAAGUAGAGGGAAUCUUUGGGGAAGAGAAAGGUAAGAGACUAGGAGAGGGAAUGCUUUGAUUUCUUAUAUUUUCUCUCAAUCCUGGUAUUUGUUCUUCCUCUGAUCCAGCUAUACUGCCUCUCCUGUGUCCAUGAAAUAACCCCAUGAUGUUUAGUUUAGACUCCUCCCAUUAUGUUUAGUUUAAGUAAGCUCAGGUAGGCUGCCCACAGUCUCCAACUAACAUAGAACAUGUUGCCACAAGAUAAAGUCACAUCUAAAAUGUGUUGACAAAUGGAAAAUGAGACCUGAAGGCUAGGAUGGUGUCUUGGGAGAGAUGAUACCAGUGGAAGCCACAAGGCCCAGUGAAUUUGCUGCUAGCAGCAGCAUAUCUGGCUUUCAGUUUUCUAGUGGCCAAUGCCAAGGAGCAGGACUCCUCAGGCAUCAGUGGUUCUCAACCCUGACUGUAUGUUAGGGACACUGGGGAGCUUCUGAAAAAUACUUCCAGGCCCUACCCCAAGAGACAGUGAUUUAAUUGGUCUAGGCUGGCAUCUGUAUGUUAUAAAAGCUUACUAGUGAUUCUAAAGUAUGACCAGAGUGAAGAGCCACCAAGUUAUACUAUUCACAAUAUGUAGAAAUAAAAGUAAACAGAUAAACCAAACAAAAACAACUCCUUAAGAGAAGCACAGGAGUGGAACUGAG